UCAUAAGCAACAAGUGUACUAAGUUUCAAGUUGAUUGGACUUCAGCUUCAUCAAAAACUACCUUGACCAAAAACUUUAACCUGGUCGGACGAACGGAACCACAGACGGACGGACGAACGGAGCCACAGACCAGAAAACAUAAUGCCCCUCUACUAUCGUAGGUGGGGCAUAACAAGAACAAUACCUCUUUUACUUGAUGUUUGUAGAUUAGAAUGAAAUACAAUUCCACUUGUCAUCAAAAACAGAAAAACAAUUAUCUUUACUAGAUUUUAA
rnacentral:lncRNA from 1 species